AGAGUCAGAGAUUCGAAGCUUCUCUUUCUCUCUGAACCAUGUCCUUCUCCCAGCUCAACACUUUCAGGUGUCGCACGUUUUCCUCCUCAUCAGGAAAAGAUCUGUUGCCACAAGCAGCUUCAAGCAUCCCAAGGGCAAUAGGCACAGCAGAAGUAAAUACUGCUGUUUUGAGUUCGGAAGGAACUAAACAAAGAAUAAAGAAGUUGUUCAACAAGGUUGAUCUCUCUGUUUCAUCAUAUGACACUGCUUGGGUGGCAAUGGUCCCUUCUCCAAAUUCCGGGAAGGAGCCUUUCUUCCCUGAAUGCGUAAAUUGGUUGUUGGAUAAUCAACUACAUGAUGGCUCAUGGGGUCCUCCUGAUUUGCAUCCCUUGUUAACAAAAGAUGCCCUCUUAUCCACAUUAGCAUGCAUCCUUGCACUAAAGCGGUGGAAUAUUGGUGAAAAACAAAUUGACAACGGUCUGCAUUUUAUCGCGUUAAAAUUUAGCUUCAGCUACUGAUGGAGAGCAACCAUCUCCUGUUGGGUUUGAUAUAAUUUUUCCUUCCAUGAUUGAAUCUGCAUUUAAUUUGGAUGUGAAUCUACCUGUGGGAGGAUCAACCUUAGAUGCUUUACUUCUCAGGAGAGAUGUUGAGCUCCAAAGAGGCAAUGGAAUCAACUCAGAGGGAUGGAGAGCCUAUCUAGCAUAUAUUUCAGAAGGAAUCGGAAAGUCACAGGACUGGGAGAUGGUCAUGAAGUACCAGAAGAAGAAUGGGUCCUUGUUUAAUUCACCAUCAACUACUGCUGCUGCUUUUACGCACCUCAACAAUGCUGGUUGUCUUAGCUAUCUACGCUCACUCGUAGAAAAGUUUGGGAGUGCAGUACCAACGAUUUAUCCUCUAGAUAAGUAUGCUCGCCUUUCUAUGGUUUCCAGUCUUGAAAGUAUGGGUGUUGAUCGACAUUUCAGGGAGGAAAUAAGAAGUGUACUUGAUGAAACAUACAGAUGCUGGCUGCAGGGGGAUGAAGAUAUAUUGUCAGAUGCUGGCACCUGUGCUAUGGCAUUUCGACUUUUACGUCUUCAUGGAUAUGAUGUUUCUGCAGAUCCAUUAAGUCAAUUUUCAGAAGACCGUUUCUUCAAUUCACUUGGAGGAUAUCUGAAGGACACUGGUGCUGCCUUGGAACUUUUUAGGGCUUCAGAAGUCAUCAUUCAUCCAGAUGAAUCAGUUCUAGAGAAACAACAUUACUGGACAACUCAUUUCUUGAAACAGGAAUUAUCAAAUAACUUAACUCAGGCUUAUAGACUCAAUAAGCAUAUUGGUCUGCAGGUCGAUGAUGCUCUUCGUUUGCCUUCCUAUGCAACUUUGGGUCGGUUAUCAAGCAGGAAAGCAAUAAAAUAUUACAAUACUGAUAGUACAAAGAUGUUAAAAUCUUCUUAUCGCUGUACGAAUGUUGGGAAUGAAGACUUCCUAAAACUGGCAGUGGAAGACUUCAAUAUGUGUCAAUCAAUACAUCGGGAAGAACUCGAGUGUCUUUCAAGGUGGGUUGUGGAGAGCAGAUUAGACAAGCUAAACUUUGCUAGGCAGAAGCAGGCAUACUGUUACUUCUCUGCUGCUGCAACCCUUUUCCCUCCUGAACUAUCAGAUGCUCGCAUAUCAUGGGCAAAAAACGGAGUUCUUACAACUGUGGUUGAUGAUUUCUUUGACGUUGGAGGUUCUGAAGUGGAACUAGUAAAUCUAGUACAAUUGAUCGAGAAGUGGGAUGUGAAUGAGAGAACUGAUUCUUGUUCUGAGCAAGUUGAAAUCAUAUUUUCAGCAAUUAAAAGCACUGUUAAUGAGAUUGGAGCCAAUGCAUACCCACGGCAGGAGCGCAGUGUAACAAAUCAUUUCAUAGAGAUUGUAAGAUGGGAUCUUUUUAACUUGUCCAUAUUAUCGUUGUUCUAUCUAUUGAUUGAGUACCAGUAA